GGUUCUGUAGUGUAAGGGUUAACGCGCUGCGGAUGCCUCUGUUGAGACCAAUGAUUUCUGCAGAGACUCCAGGUUUGAUUCCUGGUGGGGCCG